UCGAUUCUUGUCAUCUUCACUUCUUCUUAC
rnacentral:piRNA from 1 species